AGUACUAACCCCCUUGCUUCACUUUCACUCACUAUAUACUUGCUCAAUGGAACUUGCUUUUAUAGAGAGAGGAAAUUGAAAAAAGCUAGAGUGAGAAACAUAGAGGGACGAAAUUCACUGAAAAUCUUUGAAUUAAAAAAAAAAAAAAAAAAAAAAAAAAAAAGGUUGAACCUCGACUUUGAGGACUCCCACCGUUCCGUCCCUAAAUCUUUGCGAGGGAGGUAAAUCGCGGGAUGUGCUCCAUCAGGUCAGAUAACAAGAGUUGUCUUACAUUACGCCUACAAGGAGUCCAAUUCCAUGUCUGCGACUGCUAGUAAGGCGUGAGAUAACCUCACUCCCAUCCUUUGCACCAGGCUAUGUCUCGGGGGGCGGAUUAGCAAAUUUCUAAGUGAUUAGUUACCAUUUUCCAUAUUACACAAUAUUUGUUUAGAGUCCAUUUAGUGAAAUUCUCUAACUCGAGUUAAACAAAAGUCAUAAAGUUUCGAUGGUCUAGUCAGAUUUAGUAUUGAAAUUAGCAUGACCCAAUAUUUUUGUACGUAGUGCAAAAUUUGAAAUGAUUGAAAUUUUUGCAAUUUGGCAUUGAUAACGAUCGAAUCAUCGAAGUUGUUAAUGGCUAGUUAAGUAGGUAUUAAUGGGUAGUUCGCGUAAGAAUUAGAAAAAAGUGGAAGUUUGGGAACUUAUAAUAAUAGCCGAUGAAAUUAGGUAUGGAUGAUAAAUGAAUUUUGAAGAAUUAUGGAAAAACGAGGGAUUCGGUGAGUGGUUGCUUUUUAACUUUUAUUGUACUGAUUGAUUGUUACUUUGGUGUAUUAUUCCAAAUUCCUACACUUUCAAUAGUUUUGUGUCACCUUUUUUCCUUUUUCCACACUCCCCAUUUCAAACGUAUUAUGAACUUUUUGGAUGUGGAAUGCAAAAUGGGUCUGUUUGCCCUUUUGGGAAUUUGUACUUUUGACCCCAACAAGACCCAAAGAUUAUGGGUACAACAAAAUUUUCCGCGGGAUUGGAGAAUUGACCGCGGUAAAGAUGUUCAAUAACUGCAACAAUUUCUUCUAACAUUGCCUUUAUUAGCUCUCUCCGUGUCUCUCCAUAUACGGUACUAACCCCCUUGCUCCAUAUUCACUCACUAUAUACUUGCUCAAUGGAACUUGCUUUUAUAGAGAGAGGAAAUUGAAAAAAGCUAGAGCGAGAAACAUAGAGGGACGAAAUUCACUGAAAAUCUCCCGAUUCACCGAGAUUUCUAUUUGUAUGUGUGUGUAACUUCUUUUUAUGCGGGAUAAUUUGUGGGUUUGAAGUUAAAAGCGUGAUUUUCUGUUUAUCUUUUUGUGGGGUUUGGUUAUGGGAGAUCUGAGUUGAAAAAAGGGGUAAACAAAUGGCUACUUCAGAGAUGUCGAUCGACGGAGGCUCACAAUCGUUGAUGCCGGAAAAAAUUACU
rnacentral:lncRNA from 1 species